GCUUUCAUAGCUCAGUUGGUUAGAGCAACCGUUUAGUAAGCGUGAGGUCUUGAGUUAAACUCUGAAUGAAAGCA
rnacentral:tRNA from 1 species